rnacentral:rRNA from 1 species
UACGGAGGGUGCAAGCGUUGUUCGGAAUCAUUGGGCGUAAAGCGCGUGUAGGCGGCUAUUUAAGUCUGAUGUGAAAGCCCGGGGCUUAACCCCGGAAGUGCAUUGGAUACUGGGUAGCUAGAGGGCGAGAGAGGAGAAUGGAAUUCCUGGUGUAGGGGUGAAAUCCGUAGAUAUCAGGAGGAACAUCAGAGGCGAAGGCGGUUCUCUGGCUCGUUUCUGACGCUGAGACGCGAAAGCGUGGGGAGCAACCAGG